UCCUACGGGAGGCAGCAGUGAGGAAUUUUCCGCAAUGGGCGAAAGCCUGACGGAGCAAUGCCGCGUGGAGGAUGAAAGCCUAUGGGUCGUAAACUCCUUUUCUCAGAGAAGAAAUUUUGACGGUAUCUGAGGAAUAAGCAUCGGCUAACUCCGUGCCAGCAGCCGCGGUAAUGGGGCUGGUA
rnacentral:rRNA from 1 species